GACGAGUGGUACUACACCAACCACAGCACCAAGUACGCCCGAUACGUCAAGCACCACGCUGCACGUGCCUUAGUAUAUUUAGGAUUUCAACACAGAGUCAAUUUGCGCUUCUCCGUCUACGAUAUAUUUCAGGAGGACGCACCACCUCACACACCGUUAACCGAAGCGGCCGAGGAUAGUUACAUUACACUGACUUCGGCGCCCACCUACGUCAUUUCUCACCCCAAAACGAAAACUAUACUCGGUCUUUCACUUGAAAAUGCGAUCAUACACGCCUUAAAAUCUGUAGAGGCAAUUUUAGGUCAGAAUAAAGGCAUUAUUGCCGGAAGUGAACCUUACAUGGCAUGUUGGAUGCUCAGUGGUACCUCAUAUCGACAUAUCAAUAAAAGUGUGAUGGCGUCGCGGCGGGCCUCGGCGUGCGACGCGGGUAGCGUGGAGUUCGCGGCGCUGUGGUUGGCUUUCUUCCCGUGUGUGCUCCACCCGGUCAUCAUGCUGCGACUCUUCCUCCACCGGGUGCUCACCACCCUCCCUUGCCUCCCCCGCUGGAAGUCCUGCGCCUCCCGCUCCUCCUUCGCCUCAGACGCCCCAAGAGCCCCCGCUCUCGCGCCUCCUCCACCGAUACGGACGCCAGCACGCUCAGGAAACGAAGGAAAGUGAACCUGACGCUGAAUUGUGGGGGCUGGACGUCGGACUCGACGGAAGACCCUCCCCCGGGACCUGGGACGG
rnacentral:lncRNA from 1 species